rnacentral:rRNA from 1 species
UGGGGAAUAUUGCACAAUGGAGGAAACUCUGAUGCAGCGACGCCGCGUGAGUGAAGAAGUAAUUCGUUAUGUAAAGCUCUAUCAGCAGGGAAGAUAGUGACGGUACCUGACUAAGAAGCACCGGCUAAAUACGUGCCAGCAGCCGCGGUAAUACGUAUGGUGCAAGCGUUAUCCGGAUUUACUGAGUGUAAAGGGAGCGCAGGCGGUGCGGCAAGUCUGAUGUGAAAGCCCGGGGCUCAACCCCGGUACUGCAUUGGAAACUGUCGUACUAGAGUGUCGGAGGGGUAAGUGGAAUUCCUAGUGUAGCGGUGAAAUGCGUAGAUAUUAGGAGGAACACCAGUGGCGAAGGCGGCUUACUGGACUGUAACUGACGUUGAGGCUCGAAAGCGUGGGGAGCAAACAGGAUUAGAUACCCUGGUAGU